rnacentral:lncRNA from 1 species
UUUUAAGCAUGCAAUUUUUGUUGAAAAGUCUUUAUGAAAUUCUAUAAUUGUAUCAAUGAAAUAGAGUGUCCAUAAUUUGUAUUAAAUCCGAUAACUGUUUCAGUACAAAGUUCAGGUAUAGAAAGACGUGUACUAGAUUUGAGUCGUGUAAACAAAUAUAUAAAAACGAAAGAUCAAAUUUGAAGGUGUUAAUGGAGUAUAAACGUUUGUACAUAAUUCAAUAUAUGUAUAAAUUUUAUUUGAAGCAUAGAUGAGAAUUGUGAUCAUCAAAGAUUUCAAUUUUUUUUCCCCUAGAAAUUUGACUAAAAUCAGAUUAUUUACUUUCACAGUUUUACUAGAAAACGAUCAGAGUUUUAGUACAAUAUUGGAGAGCUGUAAGUAUUCCGAUUGUGGUUUAUUUAGACGACUGAUAGGGAGCGGCAGAAAGUUCUGAAAUUUGUGAAAUUAUGGACUUGCAGGUUAAAAGUGAGUUAGUAAAAUAUGGUUUUAUUUUAAAUUAUAGUAAGACUAGAGCAUAUGGACACCAGUUCAAAUUAUAGAAUGACUAGGUGUUAAUUGUAAUUUAAAAUAAGGGACAUUAGAAAUACCUGUUAAAAAUUUGAGAGUUUAUAAAACAUUAUAUCUGUUUUAUUUGAAUGCAAUAUUACUAUUAAUUGUGGAAAUUUAGUUAAAGUGGGUUGAAAAAUAAUUUCAAUGUUAACAGCAUUUUGCAGUAUUUGUCAAUUAUGAUGAGGCUUUUAUGUAUGACUAUCUUGUAGAGCUUAUUGGGAUUAUUUUGUAUUUUGAAAGACAAAACUUAGGUUUGGGUAUUUUGAAUAUGACAAAUCUAAUUUAAGGCAUCUUUUAUAUUUUCAUAGAAUGCCUGAGAGGAUUUUUUUUUUUCCGAUGCCACCGAAUAUGCAGAUGUACUAGGUAAUAAAUGUAACACAUUUUAAGAGAGAUAAAUAGGAGUGAACCAAGAGUUAAACUAGGAGAGAAUUGAAAGCGGUAAGCAAUUACAUUUUACAAUCCGUACAUAACCUAUUGAGUGGAUAAUUAGUUUAGAUUUAUACCGAUAAUUAGAAUGUAUAAACUAAAGAAAAUAAGAAAAGUUUGUAUGAAGUAGGAGCUUCAGACACAGCUUUAGAGUUUUUAACAAUAUGCUUAAAUUGUGUUAGAUAUGAUCAAAACUGAAUGGAUUCCUAGAGAUAAAUAUAUAAAAGCUGACAAAUUUAGUGAAAAUUUUGAUUUCGAAGAUCCGAGUGUUUCAGAUAUUAAUUUCAAAUAAUUUGAUCUGUUACGGUGUUCAUUCAUUUGUGAUUUAUUUACCGACAGAAGAAAUAUGGUGUUGUAGUUUGUCUUAAAGUUUUUUACACCUGGUACGCAUUUGCAUAUGAUUGGUCAGCAUUAGUUUGGAUAGUUCCUACAUGUAUAAUUAUUUGAUUGAUAGGGUUGUUUAAUUAAUUUUAUACUGCAUAUGCGAAAAAAGCAACAGCUACAUUAGUGGUACUUAAGUGAAAAUCAGCUGUGAAUUGUUUACGGUACGAAUAUUAAUGCUAUAUAAUAUAUUUCCGUGAUUAGAGAAAUCAAAUUAAGUUUUAUGCAAGGAUCGGACGAAUACAGCAUUUUUGAUAUGCAACCAUUUAACAGUAAUUUGUUAGAUUUAAUUCGGUCUGCCUACUAAUAGUAAUUUAGAAGGUAUAUAUGUAA